rnacentral:tRNA from 1 species
AAGGGUAUAGCUCAGUAGUAAAGUGCAUGCCUGACAUGCAAGAGGUCCUGGGUUCAAUCCCCAGUAUCUCCA